rnacentral:rRNA from 1 species
AUUGAACGCUGGCGGCAGGCUUCACACAUGCAAGUCGAGCGAGCGGCGGACGGGUGAGUAAUGUCUGGGAAACUGCCUGAUGGAGGGGGAUAACUACCGGAAACGGUCGCUACUACCGCAUACCAUCAGAUGUGCCCAGAUGGGCUUAGCUAGUAGGGGGGGUAAUGGCUCACCUAGGCGACGACCCCUAGCUGGUCUGAGAGGAUGACCAGCCACACUGGAACUGAGACACGGUCCAGACUCCUACGGGAGGCAGCAGUGGGGAAUAUUGGACAAUGGGCGCAAGCCUGAUGCAGCCAUGCCGCGUGUGUGAAGAAGGCCUUCGGGUUGUAAAGCACUUUCAGCUGGGAGGCGUUACUCGCAGAAGAAGCACCGGCUAACUCCGUGCCAGCAGCCGCGGUAAUAC